rnacentral:lncRNA from 1 species
ACUUCCCCGCGGGCGAGGGCCAGGGGUCGGGGCUUCUUCGGAUGGCUGGUGGUCUUGCGUGCUGUGGAUGGAUCUGAGUGUAGAAGAACUAAAAUCCCCAACGAAUGAAAACCAGAGAGGAGGGCCAAGUCCUUGCCAUUAAACAGCCUUUUUUGUUACUGAAAGCCAGUGAAUGGGAAACUGUUGACUAGACAUCAGUCACCAAGAAGACAAACACUGAAUGGGCCUUUGCUUUCCGUGUGGAGUCAAGCUGUAUUGUAUGUGAAAGCAUCAUAUAGAGCAAGAAAGUGAAGAAAUAUCAUGCCGCCCAUGCUCCAAACAGGGGUUUGAUAAGGAUGAAGAUGACGAAGAAGGAAAUGAAGAGGAGAACAAGAGGAGGAGGAGUCCCCCCAAAAGGAUCAAGGGCCACACCCACAGCAUAUAAAUUCCCAGGCUAGGGAUCAAAUCAGAGUUGCAGCCGCCAGCCUAGCCACGGCCACAGCAACACCAGAUCCAAGCUGCAUCUGUGAUCUACACUGCAGUUCAUGGCAAUGCUGGAUCCUUAACCCUCUGAGUGGGGCAGGAAUCGAACCCGCGUCCUCAUGGAUACUAGUCAAGUUUGCUACCACUGAGCCACCCUGAGCCUGUUUUCUUAUCAGCAACACAAUGAGUCAAUUUCACACCUUUUCAUCUACACAGAUGUCCAUUUUUUUGUUUACUGUUUAACAUCUACCGAAUUUACUGUUGCUAUUAGUUAGUAUUUAAGAUAGUUUAUAUUAUCAAUGAAUAAUGAUUUCUAU